CACCCUCCGGCCCGCGCUCCCCUCUCCCAUUCAUCCCGCCGCCUUAUCGACCCGCGGCCGACCCCACGCGGCCAGGCGCCCCCGCCCGCUGCCCUCUCCUCUCCCAGCCCGGCUUCCCCCGCGGGGGCUGUCAUCGAGCUUCUGGCACGGCCGGAUCCUGCCCCGGGGGAGGAGGGAGCAGGGCCGGGGGCGGGAUCCAGCCCUGUCCUUGCAGGCCUGGGUUCGGAGCCCAGCUGCCGGGAAUGGUUUCCAGAUCUCCCUGAGCCUCAGUUUCCUCAUCUGUAAACCGGGUGGUGGUAGCUUCGUCCACCUCUUUGAGAAGACAGCAGAAGAGGCGUCCUGAGAAGGCAUGCGGUUAGCCUUUGGUCACGGAGGCCUUUGCCCUUGCAAAAAAAGUAAUCUUCAGCCCUGUUCCUAGUACCAGCCGCUCGCAGCUGCACAGCGCCUCCUGAAUGUGUGAACCAAAAGUCAGGGUUCCAAGAAGAAAGAGCAUCUGCCACCCCCACCCCUACCCCAGGUCUUGUAGAGUAUAAGACAGAGGUUCCCAGCCCUGAGAUACUGGCAGGCAUCAGGCAAGCCGAUACCUCCCUCCACUCCCAGUCACCAGCACUCACCCCACAGGCUGACAGUCCAAGCAGAACUUGCUGGCAGCUGCUGGUGGGUUUAGAGGGUUUAGCUGAUGUGAGAGUCAGGGCCCUGGGCAGUGUUUGCGACAGAAAUGACAGUAGACACCCAGCGUUGCAGAACCCCAGAUCUGGGAGGACUUUGGAGAUUACCCAGACCAACUACCCCCCGUCUUGUUUUACAGUUGGGCAAAAUGAGGCCCAGAAAGGGGAAGGAGAUGGGGCUAAGAUGCGUCACCAGCUGGUGGUAGAGCCUAGAUGGGACCAUAGCGCUGUGCUUCCCAUUCAGGUGCUGGUCACCCCACUCUUUCAUCUGUGGAAUUAUCUGUAUGAUCAAGUUUGGGGCUGGGGGCAGGGCAACCAUGGUUAGGCAGGGGCCACUGAUGCCAGACUGCCAGCUUUCAAAUACUUCUAAGUGAAGUUCUUCUCACAGAGCCUUGGCUUCUUUAUGUGUUAAGCAAUGAGGAUAAUAACAGACCCUGGGCCGAGCAUGGUGGUUCAUGCCUGUAAUCCCAGCACUUUGGGAGGCCAAGGUGGCUGGAUCACUUGAGGUCAGGAGUUUAAGACCAACCUAGCCAACAUAGUGAAACCCCAUCUCUACUAAAAAUACAAAAAUUAUCUGGACGUGGUGGCGGGCACCCGUAAUCCCAUCUACCUGGGAGGCUGAGGCAAAAGAAUUACUUGAACCCGGGAGGCGGAGGUUGCAGUGAGCAGAGAUUACACUACUGUGCUCCAGCUUGGGCGACAGAACAAGACUCCAUCUAGAAAAUAAAAAUAAAAAUAAAAAAAUAAGUAA